CAGGCGGGCAGCUCCCAGGCUCCAUCGGGGACCAGUGUCCUCGAGCUUUCUAAGGGCACUGUCACCGGCUGUGCUUCAGUCCCCCUGGUUGUGAGAAGGCACCCAUCACUGGGCACCGAGGCCUUGUCCCAGACAAGGACAUGGCGCCCUCUUUGGAUCCUUCUGUGUGACAUCUGCGCUCAAUAAAUAUCCAGGUGAUGAUGGAUUCAACAAGGCAGCAAGCAGCCAGCGGGAGGCUAAAUGGAUUUUAAUGGCCUGCCUCCAGACUUGAGUUGGAACUACACCAUCUGCUCCCCUGGGUCUCCAGCUUGCUGAUUCACCAUGCAGAUCUCGGGACUUGUCAGCCUCCAUAAUCAUGUCAGCUAGUUUCUUAUAAUAAAUUUCUUUCUAUAUCAAUGCUAGAAGCCCGGUGCAC